rnacentral:lncRNA from 1 species
CGAUUAACUAACUAUAUCUCUAUUUCGAUUCAAACCAAACAAUCGCAUUAAAUCUUUGUGAAAUAACUCAAUGGGUCACCUAGAAUUAGGGAUACAUCUAUAACCCCUAGAGUUUUUACUAUUUGAUCUAAAAUGUACAAUCGUCUCUCGAACGAUGUAAAAAUCAUUAAGCGUAAUCAUUCAUUAACUACAUAAAUGAAAAUUCAAGAAAUAACAAUAAUAAAAACACAUGAAAAUAAAUAAAUUAAUAUUAAAGAGCAAAUAUCAAAAUUAAUUAAAACUAGGUUAAACUAAUACCAUAAAUCCCAAUAAGAGAAAUUAGCCCAUAUUAUAUAUAUGAUAACAAAGAAGAAUAUUUAUCCAAUACAUCACAAAUGAUAGAAAAUAAACCUUUUUUGUUGGAUUUUUUCUCGAAUCUUGAGUUUUUCAUUUGUUCUCCACAUUUUCUUUGAUUUAUUCUCCUUGUUGUACUCUUGAUUUGCUCCAAAAUACCCAGAUAAAUUAAAGGAAGAAGAAAGGAAACAAGGAAGAAAAGAAAGAAAAU